AGCGAACGCUGGCGGCAGGCCUAACACAUGCAAGUCGAGCGGCCGUAGCAAUACGGCAGCGGCAGACGGGAUAGUAACACGUGGGAACGCGCCCUUCGGUUCGGAAUAACGCAGGGAAACUUGAGCUAAUACCGGAUACGCCCUUACGGGGAAAGAUUUAUUGCCGAAGGAACGGCCCGCGUCGGAUUAGCUAGUUGGUGAGGUAAUGGUUCACCAAGGCGACGAUCCGUAGCUGGUCUGAGAGGAUGACCAGCAUCACUGGGACUGAGACACGGCCCAGACUCCUACGGGAGGCAGAAGUGGGGAAUAUUGGACAAUGGGCACAAGCCUGAUCCAGCCGUGCCGCGUGGAUGAUGAAGGCCCUAGGGUUGUAAAGUCCUUUUAACGGGGAAGAUAAUGACGGUACCCUUAGAAUAAGCCCCGGCUAACUUCGUGCCAGCCGCCGCGGUAA
rnacentral:rRNA from 1 species